UUAAUUCAAAAAGGUUGUUUAUUACACAAUAAAAAAAUAAAAUACAUAAGGAAAAACAUUGUAUGUAACACGUCUUUAUAACACUCACGAAUGCAUGACAUGGUCUUUAGUGAAUAAGGUGUCCAGUCACUUUCAAAAUUGUUUUUCACUUCUACGCACCAGAAGCACUACAGCCUAAUGUGUGACCUGGUGCAAAAAUGUGUCCCUGUAAUCUGACAAUUAUAAAACACUGCCUUUACUGAGAAAAGAAAAUGUUUACAUUUGUUAUUCAGACAGCCAUUAGAAGCACUUCCUGUUAUGGUCCUGCAAUCUUUGAAGUAUGAUACAAAAAAGAAGAAAAGUGAAUGGCGCUUACACAGUAAAACAGGAGCACAGUUGGAGUGGAAAGGGUGUUCCCCAACACCCUAAAAUCAAGUAAUAGAAAAAGGUACUAAAAGCAACAAGUGCCAAAUACACACACCACUCCCUGUGUAUCAAAACAGGCAAUAAUAAUACUUAUACAUGUACAGGUACAUAUAGGAGAUGGUCCAUAUAAAAACC